CACACACACAAGUAUAUACACAUAUAGUUACAGAAAUGUAGACACCACUGAACAAGGAAUGUACUGAGAAGACUUCCUUAGGGAUAAAGCUAAGGGAAUUAUUAACUUGCACUAAAACAGAAAGAUACAGUUUAAUUACUUGAUUCCAUGAGUCAGUUUAUUUUUUCCUUUGUUUUGAUUUCUGUAAAAUAAGAGACAGCUUUUGUAUUUAUUAUUGAUUGAAGCUAUUUUUUAAAGAUGUGGAAAAGCAGAGAGUUGAGCUGCUGGGAAAGCCUUCCGAUUGGUCAGAACAUGUUACUUUAUAUGAGUGUAAAUAUUCAUCUAUAAAUGAAAAUUUUUAAAUACUCGACCAAAUCUUACCUUAACUUUAUCAAAGCUGUCUUUGGUGAGUUUUUGUUUGUUUUCAACAAAAUGGAUAAGAAAAAAAAAAGUUUAAAAAAAAGUAUUUAAGAAGGAUGUCAAGAUAUCAUUUUGAGAGUUUAUGUAUUGUAAAAAAAAAAAAAAAAAAAUUGUACAGAUUCUGUAAAAAAAUGAAUUCAGAGUAUUUUUGUUGUAUUUAGAAUGUAGAAUCAAUAUUGUCUAAAAUGAUCUGACCACUUGAAGAAAUUUUCCUUACUCUUGCUUUUUUGCCAUUUUUUUGUUUUAUUAUAUUUUCGCAAUCAAAACGAGCACCAAUCAUGCUGAGAUGAUUGUGAAAUCUUAACUCUGUUCAUCAGAUUAGUGUGAGCUGUGAAUUCCCAUUUGAAGCCACCCAUAAAGCAUUUGAUAGUUCCCAAUAGCGAGCACUAGCUGUUCUCAACCCACCACAGCAGUGAUCCUCAAAUCUGGCUCGCGAGAUCCACUUUCCAGCAUAGUUUAGCUUCAACCCUAAUCAAACAAACCUACCUGUGAUCUUCUAUUGAUCCUGAAGACACUGAUUAGCAGGUGUGUUUGAUUAGUGUUAAGAGCUAAACUCUGCAGGAAAGCGGAUCUCCCGAGCCAGAUUUGAAGAUCACUGCUCCACAGCAUAGACUCACGUUUAGAAUUUCAGAGAUGAAGUUCAAUGCCUUUCACAUUUAGAAAACUUAAUGCGUAGACAUUUAAUGAAAUGUAAAGUAUGCUUCUUUCGUGUUUACAUUUAAAGAAUAAAAGAUGACUUAUUUUUGGUGUUGGUAAAAGUAAAAAUCAUGGUAUGAUGUCACACUCAAUUGAAUAAUUCAAACCUGGUAGUAGCACUUUGCAGACCAGUUUGAAAUGAAGUUUUUUUUCAUGUGCACAACUAAUGUGGACUGCAAUUGUUGGUAUUCUUAAACAGUCCUGAGCUUGUAAUAUACAUGGCAUGAUGUAUUUUUUCAAUUUUCAAAUAAAUCAGUUGUACAUAAUUUCUCAGUGACUGGCUGUAAUAAAAAUUUUCUUGGAUUUUUUUUUCUUGUACAAUAUUCAGACAUUUAACAGUAUUUCUCUUUUUUCUUUGUCCUGUAUAGUAGUAUCCAAUGUUAAAACAAAGGUUUUUUUUUUUUUUUUUUUAAGUAUACAAUGUGUGGGUUUUGGAGUUUGUGGAAUCAGGUUUAGAAACAUUUACAA
ensembl:lncRNA